rnacentral:rRNA from 1 species
GAUCAUGGCUCGGGAUGAACGCUAGCUACAGGCUUAACACAUGCAAGUCGAGGGGCAGCGGGAUUGAAGCUUGCUUCAAUUGCCGGCGACCGGCGCACGGGUGAGUAACGCGUAUCCAACCUUCCGUACACUCAGGGAUAGCCUUUCGAAAGAAAGAUUAAUACCUGAUGGUAUCUUAAGCACACAUGUAAUUAAGAUUAAAGAUUUAUCGGUGUACGAUGGGGAUGCGUUCCAUUAGGUAGUAGGG